rnacentral:Y_RNA from 1 species
GGCUGGUGCCAAGGGAGUGAGUUGUCUGUUGCUUGUUGAGUCCGUUACAGAUCGAACUCCUUGUUCCACUCUUUCCCCCUUCUCACUACUACACUUGACUAGUCUUAA